rnacentral:rRNA from 1 species
GAUGAACGCUGGCGGCGUGCCUAAUACAUGCAAGUCGAGCGAACGGACGAGAAGCUUGCUUCUCUGAUGUUAGCGGCGGACGGGUGAGUAACACGUGGAUAACCUACCUAUAAGACUGGGAUAACUUCGGGAAACCGUAGCUAAUACCGGAUAAUAUUUUGAACCGCAUGGUUCAAAAGUGAAAGACGGUCUUGCUGUCACUUAUAGAUGGAUCCGCGCUGCAUUAGCUAGUUGGUAAGGUAACGGCUUACCAAGGCAACGAUGCAUAGCCGACCUGAGAGGGUGAUCGGCCACACUGGAACUGAGACACGGUCCAGACUCCUACGGGAGGCAGCAGUAGGGAAUCUUCCGCAAUGGGCGAAAGCCUGACGGAGCAACGCCGCGUGAGUGAUGAAGGUCUUCGGAUCGUAAAACUCUGUUAUUAGGGAAGAACAUAUAUGUAAGUAACUGUGCACAUCUUGACGGUACCUAAUCAGAAAGCCACGGCUAACUACGUG